UAAUUUAACAAAACCGAAGUCAACUGUCUUUGCUGAAAUUUCCCGCUCGAUUUCCCAAGAGCGAGAAACCAAUAAAGGACAUAGAGCAUACUUGCUUACAGUUGAAAUUUUUCGCAGCAUUUAAGUUCAUAUGAGUUGCUUUCUUGCUUUUCACUUGAAGUACAUUAGCUUACUUCCGUUCGAAAGUUUUGACGAGUAUCUCCAUUUAUUAAAUGUUGAUUAUUUUUUGCAAUCUUUCAGAUGACGAUUCUUCUUUGUGGACAUUGUGUUAGGAACUUGGAAUAAUUUUCUUUAAUGUUACCGCCCAAGCUGCCCGUAAGGAUUGCGUUAACAAUCAACUUGAAAUCCAAUAGGUCUAAUUUUGGAAAACGCGAAACGUCCUAAGGGGGGAGAAUUGCAUCUUCAAACUCAAGAACAUGGACAAGACAUCGCCUCUUGCGAGGUGCUCAGAUCGUUCAUCAAAACUAAAAGGAUUCCUCAGUGCCUUGGCUAUGGUGGUCAAGUUGGAGAACGAAAUCGAUACAUAAAAGGAUUCUUCAGUUCCCCUUUUCUACCAUAUGAUCAAUGUGAGAUACGAAACCGAUAUUCAAAAGAUGAUGAACUGUGAACUCAUUGGUCGGAACUCCAGAAUUACCGAAAAAAAAAAUGGUAAGUUCGCCCUUGGACCGCUACUACAUCCCUGUUUUUACCAAUGAUGAUCACAUCAUUUUCAGUUAUCCCUGUCUUAGGAAUAAUGCUGACCCUUUUUUAUUCUGAAACUUUUUCGACUAAGAAAUUGCGUUCCAUGUCGAUCUUCUUGUUAUUAAAUCGAAAUUUGAU